GAUGAACGCUGGCGGCGUGCCUAAUACAUGCAAGUCGAGCGAACAGAUGAGGAGCUUGCUCCUUUGACGUUAGCGGCGGACGGGUGAGUAACACGUGGGUAACCUACCUAUAAGACUGGGAUAACUUCGGGAAACCGGAGCUAAUACCGGAUAAUAUUUCGAACCGCAUGGUUCGAUAGUGAAAGAUGGCUUUGCUAUCACUUAUAGAUGGACCUGCGCCGUAUUAGCUAGUUGGUAAGGUAACGGCUUACCAAGGCAACGAUACGUAGCCGACCUGAGAGGGUGAUCGGCCACACUGGAGCUGAGACACGGUCCAGACUCCUACGGGAGGCAGCAGUAGGGAAUCUUCCGCAAUGGGCGAAAGCCUGACGGAGCGACGCCGCGUGAGUGAUGAAGGUCUUCGGAUCGUAAAACUCUGUUAUUAGGGAAGAACAAACGUGUAAGUAACUGUGCACGUCUUGACGGUACCUAAUCAGAAAGCCACGGCUAACUACGUG
rnacentral:rRNA from 1 species